UGCGUAGGGACCGAGCGUUGUCCGGAAUUAUUGGGCGUAAAGAGCUCGUAGGCGGUUUGUCGCGUCUGGUGUGAAAAUCCAGGGCUUAACCCUGGACCUGCAUCGGGUACGGGCAGACUAGAGUGCGGUAGGGGAGAUCGGAAUUCCUGGUGUAGGCGGUGAAAUGCGCAGAUAUCAGGAGGAACACCGGUGGCGAAGGCGGGUCUCUGGGCAACAACUGACGCUGAGGAGCGAAAGCGUGGGGAGCGAACGG
rnacentral:rRNA from 1 species